AUGGCCUGGGCCGGCACCGCGCUGCUGCUGAGCCUCGCCGCCCUGCUGCCCGCGGAUGCUGCGCCCUGCGGAGCCCAGCGCCCCGACAGCUCCACGGCAUCCGAGCUGCUGGGGACGUGGCUGUACCUGGCAGGGGCUGCCCAGUUCCCCCAGCACCAAGUGGAGAUGCUGCUCAUCGAUCACGCCUUCCUGCGCUUGGAGCCCGGUGCCAGCGGGCAGCAGCUGCUCAUCAGCCACUACGUGGCCGUGGGGGACCAAUGUUUUACCAACAACCUCACCUACCUGGAAGUCAGUGUCGGUAAUGCCACGCUGGUGAAGGAUGCCAAGACCCAGCGAACUGAGGGGAUGCUGAUGAACAUGAGCUCUGAAAACCUUUUACUCAUCCAGUACCAAAUGCAGAAGGACAGGACGUAUUUGGGGCAGUAUCUCUAUGCCCGGAAUCUGAGCAUAAGCACAGCGGACCGGGAGGAAUUUGAGCGCCACGUGGAGUGCCUGGGGCUGAGGGCAGAGCAGAUCGUGUUUGCGCCUUGGAAAACGGAGGUGUGUCAAGUGAAAGCUGAAGGCAGCAGCAGCAGCCCACAGGCAGAGCCCGUGGCUGCAGUGACAGCAUCACCUGCCCCAGGUGCUCCCUGGCCUGGGAGCGCAGGGAACUGACCCCACACAGGGCAAUAAACGCUUUCUUCAAAUCA
rnacentral:lncRNA from 1 species